rnacentral:rRNA from 1 species
AGACGGAGGGUGCAAGCGUUGUUCGGAAUCACUGGGCGUAAAGCGCGUGUAGGCGGUCCGAUAAGUCGGAUGUGAAAGCCCGAGGCUCAACCUCGGAAGUGCAUUCGAAACUGUCGGGCUGGAGUACGGGAGAGGGAAGUGGAAUUCCUGGUGUAGAGGUGAAAUUCGUAGAUAUCAGGAGGAACACCGGUGGCGAAGGCGGCUUCCUGGACCGAUACUGACGCUGAGACGCGAAAGCGUGGGGAGCAAACAGGAUUAGAAACCCCAGUAGUCC